UUGGGCCCUUCGUACUCAUAAGUUGUUUUCGAUGAUGGGGCUUCCGAAUCGACGAUCCACUCCGUUAAAUAUGAUUUACUAGUAGUACCGUUUGGUUUGGGUAUAAGCACGAACUAGCUAUUACAGGGAUAGGUACAAGUAUGGGAAUAAGAAAAAUAGUGUUUGGAUGAAAAUUGGGUUGUUUCCGGGGAUAAGAACAAUUUUUGGUAGUUUUAUAUAGAAAAUAGAGGUGUUGGUGGGAAUAACCGAGAACUACUAUUCUCGGGUAAAAAUUUAGCGUUUGGGUAUAAAGGUGGGGAUAAGGGCCUAUUUCUAUCCCUAUCCCCUAACCAAACGCUAAAAAAAUAAAUUUCGUAAUUUUUCGAAAUCAUAAUAAAGUCCAUCAAGUGGGUAUAAAAUGAAUGGUCGAAAUCGAACGACGUUCUAAAAAUGGAUGAUCAGAUCCUUCAAUUUAAGAUCGAAGUUAUUGAUCUUUAUCUAGGUAGUGAAUAGAAUUUUCUAUUAAAAAUUCAACCAAUUCCGAUUUUUUUACACCGUUAAACUAGCAAGUAUCCCAUACCGGCCGUUUAAAAUUGUUGAUUUUGUGACAUUUUGAUCGUAAGGUAAAUGAUGUCAAAAAAUUAUGAAAUUUGAUUUCUAGAAGUUUUAAAUGCUCUAGAUAAUGUUUGACAGUAUGGAUCGUCGAUUCGAAAACUCUAACAUCGAAAAUAACUUAUGAGUACGAGGGCGAUCGUACUCAUAAUAGUAUAGUAGCCGAACUCUAUAUAUGUAUAUAGAGAGAGAGAGAGAGAGAGAGAGAGAGAGAGAGAGAGAGAGAGAGUAUGUGAGUAAUGCUAUAGAC
rnacentral:lncRNA from 1 species